UCUUUUGUUUCUUUGGGGAUUUUUAUUCUGAUGGCACAAACAUCUUGUUCUCUCAGGAUUUUGUUAUCUCUGGAAAAAAACCUUAGUAUUGUGUCACUUCCUCCUUCCCUGGUUGUGGAUUUUUCACUCCUUUGAGAGGAAGUGCUAAAACUGUUAUAUUUUAGGAAGACAUUUUAACUUAUGACUCGGAGGUCUGCAGACAUCACUGUAAAGACAGUUUCUGUGCAUCCAAAUGCUGUUAAUUCAUUAAAAUAUGAAAUGAAAGAUGUGUAACUUGGAGCUGAGAAGUCAAAGUAUUCCAGAUGGGUCUGGUUUACUUUGCAUUCAGUAUUCCUGUAGCCUGUUUCUUUGGAAGUGCAGGUAAUAAGCUUUUCAAUUGAAUAAAUGAGUGGUAGUGUUUUUUGGUUUUCCUCCCCUAGAAAUGUAGUGCUUAAUCAUACUGCAGUGUCCUGUACAAGUUGUGGACACUGUGGUGUUCUCCAGAAUGCUACUUAGGCUGCCACUACAAGAUUCACUGUAUUUUUUAUUUUUUUUACCAUAUGAAAUGGAAAGAGAUUUCUGGCUUACUGUUGGCUUUUAAUAGAUGUCUUAUCCUUGGGGAAUUGCCCACCAAUUAAUUCAUAGAGUUUGGAAUUUAACUGAAGGACAUUUUGCAUGCCUGUGUUCAAAUAUUGAUGCUAACGAGCCACCAUACAGUUCAUGUUCAUAGCUUUAUGGAUACUUAGAGAUAGGCAAUAGUCUUAUUUUUUAAUAAUGCUUAACCUUUUUCUCUUUGGCAAGAACAAGCAAGUCUGCCUGGUUUUGUAGUACUUGCAGCUUUUCCUUAACAUCAGACUUUAAAAAGGGGAGAACCAGUAUCAGUAUUGCCCUUUCCAGGUUAAGCAGCUGUUUUUCAAUUUAUACUUUGAAGUCAGACUUUUGUACAUCAUUGAGCACCCUCUUGGACUUACUGUAGACUCUCACCAGUUAUACUACACCCUUCUUGAAAAGCAGUACCUCAUCUGGAGGGUUCAACAGCUAAUCCGUGUAAAUGUAGUGCUGCAAAAAUAAUGCUUGGAUGUACUAACUCAAGUGUGAUGUGUGAUGAGGAAUCACUGGGCCUUUUGAUUAGCGAGAAACGGUACAUAAAAACUAGGUGACAGAAAUAGGACAUGAAGCUGGCAUACUGGUCUUCAAGCUUGCAGUGCAGCUCCGUGGGCUUUGGAUGACUAAAGAAGAGCAUGAGGCACAGGAGAGAACUGCUGCUGGAUCUUAGUGAAAGAUGGUAAAUCAUUUGGAGAGAGGUUUUCAAAGUCAGGAAUUAAAGUCAGGUGCCCAAUUCCAGAUUGCCUGUGAAAUCACUGUGUACUUCCCUCGCUUGUCUCACUUUGUGUUGUAUAUUGUCUAGCAGCUUUUAUUUCAAAGUUAACAAAGUUACACUUGUGUGAUAGGUGAUGUAAUGAUCUCAUAAUAAUAGGCAAAAUCAAAGUCACAGAAAAUGCCAGCAUUUGAAAGAGAGCCCUGAUAAAUUGCUAGGGCCUUAUACAACUGCCACUUACCAUGCCUUCCAUGUUACAGCUGUCUUAAUCAUUGAUGCUCUUUCCUCAGACUUGGAGCUGUAAUAUCUGAUUCUUGUUUCAGGGUAUAUUAUGAAGUUGCUGAUGGUACUGCCUUAGCCCUUUGGCUAAAAAGAAUAGCAAAUAAUUUGUGGAUUAUCCAUAUAAGCAGCAGUGAAACAGCAUUCUCUUUGAAUCAAUAGGGAAGAAAGCUGCACCAGUUUGUCUGGGUUCCCUAAUACCAAAGGUCUUUCUCACAUUUAUUGAUCCUUUUAUAUUUUCCAACUUGUUCAGGGUCAGUUGAUGACUGGAGCGAACUGUCACGUCUUUGAAAACUGCUUGUAACUGUGAAAAGAGGUUUGUUGACUUCCUCAUGUGAUAAGUAGACAUUGAAGAAAUUGUAUGUUGCUCAUCUCUUAAGUCAGAGACAGGAAUUAGAUAGGUAAUGUGUUACUAGAAAAUAAAAUAGAACUGGGCCCCUUGAGACAGAAAUGUGUUGAUGAAAUCAUGUAAUAUUAUUAUAGUGAUAUAGUGACUGUU